UUAUUAUGUAUGGACUAGGCACGCAUUGCCAGUCCUUCCUCCUCAGUGCUGCGGAGGAGGGUCUGGCGAUUCCACACAGAAUUCUGGGAUAGGAGAAAAACUGGCU